GGGCGAUUAGCUCAACGGUAGAGCAUCGGACUCUUAAUCCGCUGGUUCGGGGUUCAAAUCCCCGAUCGCCCA
rnacentral:tRNA from 2 species